CAGUCGCCGCGGGAAUACGAAGGGUGCAAGCGUUACUCGGAAUUACUGGGCGUAAAGCGUGCGUAGGUGGUGGUUUAAGUCCGUUGUGAAAGCCCUGGGCUCAACCUGGGAAUUGCAGUGGAUACUGGGUCACUAGAGUGUGGUAGAGGAUAGUGGAAUUUCCGGUGUAGCAGUGAAAUGCGUAGAGAUCGGAAGGAACAUCUGUGGCGAAGGCGACUAUCUGGGCCAACACUGACACUGAAGCACGAAAGCGUGGGGAGCAAACAGGAUUAGAUACCCGAGUAGUCCCUGUCUCUUAUAC
rnacentral:rRNA from 1 species